rnacentral:rRNA from 1 species
CCUACGGGGUGCAGCAGUGGGGGAUAUUGCACAAUGGGGGGAACCCUGAUGCAGCGACGCCGCGUGGGUGAAGAAGCGCCUCGGCGCGUAAAGCCCUGUCAGCAGGGAAGAAAAUGACGGUACCUGAAGAAGAAGCCCCGGCUAACUACGUGCCAGCAGCCGCGGUAAUACGUAGGGGGCAAGCGUUAUCCGGAUUUACUGGGUGGAAAGGGGGCGCAGACGGCGAUGCAAGCCAGGGGUGAAAGCCCGGGGCGCAACCCCGGGACUGCUCUUGGAACUGCGUGGCUGGAGUGCAGGAGGGGCAGGCGGAAUUCCUGGUGUAGCGGUGAAAUGCGUAGAUAUCAGGAGGAACACCGGUGGCGAAGGCGGCCUGCUGGACUGCAACUGACGUUGAGGCCCGAAAGCGUGGGGAGCAAACAGGAUUAGAUACCCUGGUAGUC